AGGAUUAUAGUUUAUAUUAAAACAUUUGAUUUGCAAUCAAAAAAUAUUAAACUUCUUAAUUUAUCUUA
rnacentral:tRNA from 1 species